UACAGCUUGCCAUGUAAAUUCAAGGUAACCAGGGAAACCAAGAGCUUGCUAUCCUUAUAUACUUUGCAGAGUGCUUUCUGGAAAUAGUGUUCUCCAAUCUGUCAUGAUCAGUAUUCUUUGAGAACACAAUAAAUGAAAAUAACACAGAUUUACUGGAGGCGCUGGAAAAUUACUAGAUUGAAAAAAAAGCCCUGCUGAAUGCAAGGUAAGAUAGGGUGUGUCACAA
rnacentral:lncRNA from 1 species